rnacentral:rRNA from 1 species
GACGAACGCUGGCGGCAUGCCUAAUACAUGCAAGUCGAGCGAACAGAUGAAGUGCUUGCACUUCUGACGUUAGCGGCGAACGGGUGAGUAACACGUAAGGAAUCUACCUAUAAGCGGGGGAUAACAUUCGGAAACGGGUGCUAAUACCGCAUAAUAUCUUCUUCCGCAUGGAAGAAGAUUGAAAGACGGCUCUGCUGUCACUUAUAGAUGACCUUGCGGUGCAUUAGCUAGUUGGUGGGGUAACGGCCUACCAAGACGAUGAUGCAUAGCCGACCUGAGAGGGUGAUCGGCCACAUUGGGACUGAGACACGGCCCAAACUCCUACGGGAGGCAGCAGUAGGGAAUCUUCCGCAAUGUGCGAAAGCCUGACGGAGCAAUGCCGCGUGAGUGAAGAAGGCCUUCGGGUCGUAAAACUCUGUUAUAAGAGAAGAACAAAUUGUAGAGUAACUGCUACAGUCUUGACGGUAUCUUAUCAGAAAGCCACGGCUAACUACGUGCCAGCAGCCGCGGUAA